AUUCAGCCGAAGAGUCCUCAAUAGGACGAAACGCACCUCCUGGAU
rfam:Schistosoma curassoni strain Dakar, Senegal genome assembly, scaffold: SCTD_scaffold0008354